CGUUAACGGUGGACGGGUGAGUAACACGUGGGUAACCUACCUAUAAGACUGGGAUAACUUCGGGAAACCGGAGCUAAUACCGGAUAAUAUUUCGAACCGCAUGGUUCGAUAGUGAAAGAUGGUUUUGCUAUCACUUAUAGAUGGACCCGCGCCGUAUUAGCUAGUUGGUAAGGUAACGGCUUACCAAGGCGACGAUACGUAGCCGACCUGAGAGGGUGAUCGGCCACACUGGAACUGAGACACGGUCCAGACUCCUACGGGAGGCAGCAGUAGGGAAUCUUCCGCAAUGGGCGAAAGCCUGACGGAGCAACGCCGCGUGAGUGAUGAAGGUCUUCGGAUCGUAAAACUCUGUUAUUAGGGAAGAACAUACGUGUAAGUAACUAUGCACGUCUUGACGGUACCUAAUCAGAAAGCCACGGCUAACUACGUGCCAGCAGCCGCGGUAAUACGUAGGUGGCAAGCGUUAUCCGGAAUUAUUGGGCGUAAAGCGCGCGUAGGCGGUUUUUUAAGUCUGAUGUGAAAGCCCACGGCUCAACCGUGGAGGGUCAUUGGAAACUGGAAAACUUGAGUGCAGAAGAGGAAAGUGGAAUUCCAUGUGUAGCGGUGAAAUGCGCAGAGAUAUGGAGGAACACCAGUGGCGAAGGCGACUUUCUGGUCUGUAACUGACGCUGAUGUGCGAAAGCGUGGGGAUCAAACAGGAUUAGAUACCCUGGUAGUCCACGCCGUAAACGAUGAGUGCUAAGUGUUAGGGGGUUUCCGCCCCUUAGUGCUGCAGCUAACGCAUUAAGCACUCCGCCUGGGGAGUACGACCGCAAGGUUGAAACUCAAAGGAAUUGACGGGACCCGCACAAGCGGUGGAGCAUGUGGUUUAAUUCGAAGCAACGCGAAGAACCUUACCAAAUCUGACAUCCUUUGACACUCUAGAGAUAGAGCCUUCCCCUUCGGGGGACAAAGUGACAGGUGGUGCAUGGUUGUCGUCAGCUCGUGUCGUGAGAUGUUGGGUUAAGUCCCGCAACGAGCGCAACCCUUAAGCUUAGUUGCCAUCAUUAAGUUGGGCACUCUAAGUUGACUGCCGGUGACAAACCGGAGGAAGGUGGGGAUGACGUCAAAUCAUCAUGCCCCUUAUGAUUUGGGCUACACACGUGCUACAAUGGACAAUACAAAGGGCAGCGAAACCGCGAGGUCAAGCAAAUCCCAUAAAGUUGUUCUCAGUUCGGAUUGUAGUCUGCAACUCGACUACAUGAAGCUGGAAUCGCUAGUAAUCGUAGAUCAGCAUGCUACGGUGAAUACUUUUCCGUGUCUUGUACACACCGCCCGUCACACCACGAGAUUUGUA
rnacentral:rRNA from 1 species